rnacentral:rRNA from 1 species
AUGUCCAGAUUAGCCAUGCAUGUCUAAGUAUAAGCACCUUAUACUGUGAAACUGCGAACGGCUCAUUAUAUCAGCAAUAAUUUAUUUGAUGGUUCCUUACUACACGGAUAACUGUAGUAAUUCUAGAGCUAAUACGUGCGUAAAAUCCCGACUCUUGCGGGGAGGGAUGUAUUUAUUAGAUAAAAAGCCAGCGCGGGUUCUGCCCGGUUUUGUGGUGAAUCAUAGUAACUUUUCGAAUCGCAUGGCUUCACGCCGGCGAUAGUUCAUUCAAAUUUCUGCCCUAUCAGCUUUCGACGGUAGUGUAGUGGACUACCGUGGCGUUAACGGGUAACGGAGAAUUAGGGUUCGAUUCCGGAGAGGGAGCCUGAGAAACGGCUACCACAUCCAAGGAAGGCAGCAGGCGCGCAAAUUACCCAAUUCUGACACAGAGAGGUAGUGACAAAAAAUAACAAUACCUGGCUUCUUUAGGUCGGGUAAUUGGAAUGAGUACAAUUUAAAUC